rnacentral:rRNA from 1 species
GCCAGACUCCUACGGGAGGCAGCAGUGGGGAAUUUUGCGCAAUGGGGGAAACCCUGAUGCAGCAACGCCGCGUGAGUGAAGAAGUAUUUCGGUAUGUAAAGCUCUAUCAGCAGGGAAGAGAAUGACGGUACCUGACUAAGAAGCCCCGGCUAACUACGUGCCAGCAGCCGCGGUAAUACGUAGGGGGCGAGCGUUAUCCGGAUUUACUGGGUGUAAAGGGAGCGUAGACGGCUGGUCAAGUCUGAAGUGAAAGCCCGGGGCUUAACCCCGGAACGGCUUUGGAAACUGAGCAGCUAGAGUGCUGGAGAGGUAAGCGGAAUUCCUAGUGUAGCGGUGAAAUGCGUAGAUAUUAGGAGGAACACCAGUGGCGAAGGCGGCUUACUGGACAGUAACUGACGUUGAGGCUCGAAAGCGUGGGGAGCAAACAGGAUUAGAUACCCCCGUAAUC